rnacentral:rRNA from 1 species
AAACACUUGAAGUCAGUCGCAUUAUUCAGAACUCAGCCUGGCUUCUGCCUGGUGUAUUUUCUGUUUGAUGGGCCAGCAUCAAUUUUGACCAUUGGAAAAAGUUCAGGGGAAUGUGGCACCUUCGGGUGUGUUAUAGCCUCUGGUCACACACAAUGGUUGGGAUUGAGGAUCUCAGCAUGCCUUUUGGCCGGGGUUCGCCCACGUUCAUGCUUAGGAUGCUGGCGUAAUGGCUUUAAAUGA